rnacentral:rRNA from 1 species
GUGGGGAAUAUUGCACAAUGGGGGAAACCCUGAUGCAGCAACGCCGCGUGAGUGAUGACGGCCUUCGGGUUGUAAAGCUCUGUCUUUGGGGACGAUAAUGACGGUACCCAAGGAGGAAGCCACGGCUAACUACGUGCCAGCAGCCGCGGUAAUACGUAGGUGGCAAGCGUUGUCCGGAUUUACUGGGCGUAAAGGGAGCGUAGGCGGACUUUUAAGUGAGAUGUGAAAUACCCGGGCUUAACCUGGGUGCUGCAUUUCAAACUGGAUGUCUAGAGUGCAGGAGAGGAGAGUGGAAUUCCUAGUGUAGCGGUGAAAUGCGUAGAGAUUAGGAAGAACACCAGUGGCGAAGGCGACUCUCUGGACUGUAACUGACGCUGAGGCUCGAAAGCGUGGGGAGCAAACAGGAUUAGAAACCCUGGUAGUCC